UGUCUACAUUGAUGCUAAUUAGCAUGUUCAAAUCUGAGAGUAAAUAGAGCCGAAUAUAUUGAUAAAAGUCUACCUUGUCGUAGAGAGAUUUACAGGGUCAUCAAAACACCACGGCAGGUUAAACCUACACAAAACACCACUGCAGGUUAAACCUACACAAAACACCACGGCAGGUUAAACCUACACCAAACACCACGGCAGGUUAAACUACACAAAACACCACGGCAGGGUAAACCUACACAAAACACCACGGCAGGUUAAACCUACACAAAACACCACGGCAAGUUAAACCUACACAAAACACCACGGCAGGUUAAACCUACACAAAACACCACGGCAGGUUAAACCUACACAAAACACCACGGCAGGUUAAACCUACACCAAACACCACGGCAGGUUAAACUACACAAAACACCAUGGUAGGGUAAACCUACACAAAACACCACGGCAGGUUAAACCUACACAAAACACCACGGCAAGUUAAACCUACACAAAACACCACGGCAGGUUAAACCUACACAAAACACCACGGCAGGUUAAACCUACACAAAACACCACGGCAGGUUAAACUACACAAAACACCACGGCAGGUUAAACUACACAAAACACCACGGCAGGUUAAACCUACACAAAACACCACGGCAGGUUAAACCUACACAAAACACCACGGCAGGUUAAACCUACACAAAACACCACGGCAGGUUAAACCUACACAAAACACCACGGCAGGUUAAACUACACAAAACACCACGGCAGGUUAAACUACACAAAACACCACGGCAGGUUAAACCUACACAAAACACCACGGCAGGUUAAACCUACACAAAACACCACGGCAGGUUAAACCUACACAAAACACCACGGCAGGUUAAACCUACACAAAACACCACGGCAGGGUAAACCUACACAAAACACCACGGCAGGUUAAACCUACACAAAACACCACGGCAAGUUAAACCUACACAAAACACCACGGCAAGUUAAACCUACACAAAACACCACGGCAGGUUAAACCUACACAAAACACCACGGCAGGUUAAACUACACAAAACACCACGGCAGGUUAAACUACACAAAACACCACGGCAGGUUAAACCUACACAAAACACCACGGCAGGUUAAACCUACACAAAACACCACGGCAGGUUAAACCUACACAAAACACCACGGCAGGUUAAACCUACACAAAACACCACGGCAGGUUAAACCUACACAAAACACCACGGCAGGUUAAACCUACACAAAACACCACGGCAGGUUAAACCUACACAAAACACCACGGCAGGUUAAACCUACACAAAACACCACGGCAGGUUAAACACAAAACACCACGGCAGGUUAAACCUACACAAAACACCACGGCAGGUUAAACACAAAACACCACGGCAGGUUAAACCUACACAAAACACCACGGCAGGUUAAACUACACAAAACACCACGGCAGGUUAAACACAAAACACCACGGCAGGUUAAACCUACACAAAACACCACGGCAGGUUAAACCUACACAAAACACCACGGCAGGUUAAACUACACAAAACACCACGGCAGGUUAAACACAAAACACCACGGCAGGUUAAACCUACACAAAACACCACGGCAGGUUAAACACAAAACACCACGGCAGGUUAAACCUACACAAAACACCACGGCAGGUUAAACACAAAACACCACGGCAGGUUAAACACAAAACACCACGGCAGGUUAAACACAAAACACCACGGCAGGUUAAACACAAAACACAGCC